CACCUGUUUAACAAAAACAUGUCUUAUUGAAAAUAAUUUUAAGUCUAAUCUGCCCAAUGAAAAUUUUAAUGGCUGCAGUAUCAAUAACUGUACAAAGGUAGCAUAAUAAUUAGUUUUUUAAUUAAAAACUAGAAUGAAAGAUUAAAUGAAAUAUAAACUUUAUAAAUAAAAUAAAAAUUAAAAUUAAAUUUUAAGUUAAAAUUCUUAAAUAUAAUUAAAAGACGAGAAGACCCUUUAGAAUUUUAUAUUAAUUUAAAUUAAAAUUAAAAUAUUAUUUAUAUAAAUUUAAACUAAUAUUUAAUUGGGGUAAUUUUUUAAUUUAAUAAACUUUAAAAUAAUAAAACAUUAAUUUAUGAAUUUAUAAACCUAAAAUUUAGAAUUUUAAAAUAAAUUACCUUAGGGAUAACAGCGUAA
rnacentral:rRNA from 1 species